rnacentral:rRNA from 1 species
ACGGGAGGCAGCAGUGGGGAAUAUUGGGCAAUGGGCGAAAGCCUGACCCAGCAACGCCGCGUGAAGGAAGAAGGUCUUCGGAUUGUAAACUUCUUUUAUGAGGGACGAAGGACGUGACGGUACCUCAUGAAUAAGCCACGGCUAACUACGUGCCAGCAGCCGCGGUAAUACGUAGGUGGCAAGCGUUAUCCGGAUUUACUGGGUGUAAAGGGAGCGUAGGUGGCCAUGCAAGUCAGAUGUGAAAACCCGGGGCUCAACCCCGUGACUGCAUUUGAAACUGCGUGGCUGGAGUACAGGAGAGGUAAGCGGAAUUCCUAGUGGAGCGGUGAAAUGCGUAGAUAUUAGGAGGAACACCAGUGGCGAAAGCGGCUUACUGGACUGAAACUGACACUGAGGCUCGAAAGCGUGGGGAGCAAACAGGAUUAGAUACCCUGGUA